rnacentral:ncRNA from 2 species
GCCGCUGCUCCGGGGUGCGCGCAAGCGCUGAGAUGCGAGGCGAUGCCGAAGAAAUUCGGCUGGCCUGGCGAACCCGACGAACUUGAUCCGGUUCAUACCGGCGGAAGAAGAGCCGACCUCCUUGCC